GAGGAGGAUGAGUAUGUGGCUAUGUGGUUCACUUAAUUGCCUUCCUAACUGGUUGUUGAAGCAAGAACUGCCAGAGAUUGUCAAGUCUAUCAGUAGGUAGUUGCGUGAGAAAUCCAUCAAAACAAAGGGUGGUGCCUUUUCUGUUUUGAAAGAACUCGUUGUUGUCUUGCCCAACUGUCUUGCAGACCACAUUGGGUCACUCAUUCCUGGAAUUGAAAAAGCAUUAAAUGACAAAUUGUCUACCUCAAAUUUGAAGAUCGAAGCGCUGAUAUUUACAAGAUUGGUAUUAUCUUCGCAUUCUCCUGAUGUAUUCCACCCUUAUAUCAAGGAAACGGGAAGAUAGAGCAUGGUUGAGAUUUCCCAAAAAUGAUAAGAGAUAGAAUUUGUUAUCGAAUAAUCAGGAGAGCAUGGUGUUAUUGGAUCAGCGAGCAGAAUUCCUUUAAAUGAUAUUGCUAACGGUAACGGGAAAUAUACAGUACAUAAUGGUACAUUUAUUCAUUGUGCAAGAUGUUCACUAAGAGCUUCGUUUAGGCGGAAUGUGGAAUCUAUCAAACCACGUCAUAUUGCAUUCCAUGGCUCAACUACAGCAUGCCUGAUGAGGAAAAUUCUGCAAGUAAUUGGGUUACAAAUCAAGCAGAAAGCAAGGAAAGUGUAUUCUUUAUGGCAUUUUUUUGCAAAAAAAGUGAUCGUUUUAUAAUUCUCUUGAACAAUGACUAAUUUAAUGUGCUGCCUAUCUGAAGCAAAACCAUAUUUUCAAGGCACAUGAGGGGAAGUACCAAACCGAAAUAAAUGCACUUGAAAACUUGGUGGUAGGGACAACCGAAGGGAAUGAGCUUACUCCCGCCGCACUGUGUAACUGCAAAAUUCUGUUCCUCGUGCGCCGAGAGAUGGUGGACUCAACAAUGGAAACCCUAGACUCAACACCACUGUCUCCUUUAACAACCACCGAUUGCAAACCUCAAAUCUCUUCUCCACUUCCCUGUUCCAUGUUCGCCGUAGGGUUGCACUUCUAUCUCUCUUUCUCCAAUACAUUCCAUUCUCCGAUGUAUAAUAAAAAUCAAGAUUCCCUAACUAACUAACAACAUUCCACAUUACUCAUACAACAAUAGUGCCACUGCAAACAUGGCCAACCUAGCUUUGCCCGGGAUACUUGGAAAGACACAGAUGAUUGGGAAGGAUAAAGAUCAGAGAUAAAUGGUCACUUCUGAUCUGGUUAGUCAGUUGCCCGGGAUACUUGGAAAGACACAGAUGAUUGGGAAGGAUAAAGAUCAGAGAUAAAUGGUCACUUCUGAUCUGGUUAGUCAGUUGACCAAAGCCACUUUUAGGGCCGAUUCUGAUCUCGAACUUAAAUUGAAAAAUAUCAUCAUACAACAACUUGACAUGCUGCUAGUGAUGUUUCUGGACUUGCUGUCAAAUGCCUUGCUCCGUUAGUCAGGAAGAUGAAUGAGCCAAGGGUUUGUCGAAAUGAGCAGUCAACUGUGUGACAAAAUACUUAACGUGAAGGAUCAACAUCGGGACAUUGCUAGCAUUGCUUUGAAGACAGUUGUUGCUGAAUGCUGAAGUUUCUACCCAAUCCCUUGCACAAUCUAAUCCUUCCAUUCUCUCACCACAGUUGAUAAAAGGAAUUACUGGCAAAUUUAUAUUUUUGGACGGCUCUUGGCAAUUUCUACUGGGAACACAAUGCCAGCAGCAGCGGAAGACACAAUGAUGGUACUGAAGAUGCAGGCCUUGUUGGUCAUAUAUUCAUCUAAAUGAGUCAACCUAUAAAAAGUGCGAGCCACUUCUCAUCUUCACGUGCACAAAAUCAUUUUGAGCAGCAAAUGUAUGUGAACCAGACAACUGAUGAGUGGAAACGAGUGGUAUAUUCACACUAGACCUUUUUUUGCAGGCCAAGCACAUACACUUACAACUCAGGUAUACUGCAGAAGAGAAGUGCUGAUGGUUGCACUAAGAAAAGGGACAAUGAUUUGCACCGGUUACUUUUUAUGCCUUAUGGCCUACCAGACGGUGCUGAGUUGGCUUACUAUGUCAAAUGACAGGUUUCUUGAUAUAAGCCCUUCACAGUUUGAAGCCCAUACUGGAAUGGCGGCUAGGCGUCAACCCCUGCUUAGGAUUGCAGUGUACCAGAUAGUGGUUGGCAUUGUCUAAAUUGUAACGAUAAUACUGGUGAUGGAAGACGUGCGAGGCCAAUCAUGAUUCGGUUGACACGGGUUGAUAAAGAACCAGAAUAUGAAAUGGGUGGAUGUGUUGUUUGCAGAUAUCUUUGCUCCUCCCAAGAAUCAUAAAUCGUUAUUACUCCCUGAAAAUAGACCCGUUUGUGUUACAAAACUCCCAGAGGACUGCCACUAUGAGCCAGAGGUGAAGAUUUGUGGCGGUAAAUUGAAUUUCCAAAUGUCCUAACUGGUUGUUGAAGCAAGAACUGUCAGAGAUUGUCAAGUCUAUCAGUAGGUAGUUGUGUGAGAAAUCCAUCAAAACAAAGGUAGUUAAAUAUGUAACAAAAAAAAAAGGUUGGUGCCUUUUCUGUUUUGAAAGAACUAGUUGUCUUGCCCUACUGUCUUGCAGACCAGAUUGGGUCACUCAUUCCUGGAAUUGAAAAAGCAUUAAAUGACAAAUUAUCUACCUCAAAUUUGAAGAACAAAGCCCUUAUGUAUUCCACCCUUAUAUCAAGAAGAGAGGGUGUGAAAGGCACAAGUUACUUGGUCCGCAGAUCCAUGUCCUUUGAAACUUCUUUGAUUGGUUGAGAAAUUCUUCUUUUGAAGUCCGCAGAGCCAUGUCCUUUGCAACUUUUUUGAUUGGUUGAGAAAUUCUUCUUUUGAAGGACUAUGAAAUUGGUGAUGGUACUACUGGAGUUGUUGUGUUGGCUGGAUCUCUUACAGGUUGGAGGUUUUGUAUGAGAAACUACUCAUGAUGAUGACUGGAAAUCUACAUAAUGCCAAGACUUUUGUAGUGGCUUUAACCAUAUGCUUGACACAUUGAACAAUUCUUCAGUCAAAUUGUUACAACACAUGGCUCUGCAAAGAAUUUGCCUUGAUCAUGCACUUCAAGACUCAGUCCAAGGCUGGCAUCCUUGGAAUAAGGGGAAGACUGUUCUUCUCAUAAGGUGGUUAGUGCCCAGCAAGCUGAAGACCUAAAAUUGAAGGAAAAGAGGAAGCGGGAACGAGAGAAAAAUUUGCCUAGAAAGAAGCACAGAAAGUUAGAACUAGAGAGAUGUUGGAGGAUGACGAGCAAGAUGACAAACCAAAAGGUGAGGGGACAGAUAAGAAUGAAAAGGAUUGACACAUGCUGAUCUUGCUUACCGACGUGCAAAAGCAGGAAAAGCCACCACAAAGAGGGCACUAGACUCUGGCAAGAUUUUGAAGAAGCCUCAAAAGAAAUCUAAUAUAUCUAAUCCUUCGCGAAAGACUUCCUCUUCAAGGACAGAAGAAAUGCAAAGAGAGGUUCUGGAACAGGAAAGAAGGCGAAGAAGUCAUUCAAAAGCAAGUCAAGUUCGGUUGCUGAAAAUUUAGAAAGACGAGACUUCAAUUUGAAGGAAUUUUGGGAGGAAGAGAGGGAUCGUGAGAGGGUGACUUGAGAUUUGAAGGAGGUGAUCUGAGAUACUACAUUUUACGAAAAGUGGUUUCGUUUAUCAAUCAUGAGUUUCAUAACACUGUGGCAGGGUUGCAAUGCAUCUCUCUUAUAAUUUUUUUGGUUCUUCAUCUUUGAAAAAAACCAGCAAAAUCAUCACAGACAACAAGUUCGUUGAAGACAGGGAAAUAUACAGUACAUAAUGGUACAUUUAUUAAUCGUGCAAGAUGUUCACUAAGAGCUUCGUUUAGGCGAAAUGUGGAAUCUAUCAAACCACGUCAUAUUGCAUUCCAAGGCCAAAAGAGAUGAAGAAAUUGGCCUUAAAGUUCGUUUAAGAUUGCGAAA